UGUAAAGACCUUGUCUCAGAGGAGCACCAGGACAAGACCACAGGAAACAGAUGAUUCUUCUGCACAAUCUGACUUAGCUGCAGCCUGGAAUUGAACUACUGGUUUCGUCUGGUCAGAGGAGAACUGGCCCCCCAACUGAGCCUGGUUUCUCCCAAGGUUUUUUCUCCAUUCUGUCACCGAUGGAGUUUCGGUUCCUUGCCGCUGUCGCCUCUGGCUUGCUUAGUUGGGGUCACUUCAUCUACAGUGAUGUCAUCUCUGUUCAGUUUAAAUAGUGUCUGUGCAUUUAUUUGCAAUCAAGUCAAUGAUAUCGCUGUAGAUGAAGUAACCCCAACUAAGCAAGCCAGAGGCGACAGCGGCAAGGAACCGAAACUCCAUCGGUGACAGAAUGGAGAAAAAAACCUUGGGAGAAACCAGGCUCAGUUGGGGUCAGUUCUCCUCUGACCAGACGAAACCAGUAGUUCAAUUCCAGACUGCAGCAAAGUCAGAUUGUGCAGAAGAAUCAUCUGUUUCCUGUGGUCUUGUCCUGGUGCUCCUCUGAGACAAGGUCUUUACAGGGGAUCUGUAUCUGGGGCUCUAGUUGUCCUGGUCUCCGCUGUCUUUCAGGGCAGUAGAGGUCCUUUCUAGGUGCUGAUCCACCAUCUGGUCUGGAUACGUACUGGAUCCGGGUGACUGCAGUGACACUCUGGUCUGGAUACAGACUGGAUCUGGUGGCUCCGGUGACCUUGGAAUAAGAGAGAAACAGGCUAAUAUUAGCCUAGAUGCUAUUCUUCUAAUGAUGUAGCAAGUACAUCGGGUGUUAUGGGAAGUGUUUCCGGUUCCGGUUUACCUAAUUAAUGCAGCCUAAAAAUCCUUUAACGGAUUUGGAUAUUAAAAGCAUAUUAGUAUGUUAUGUGUAAGCCAGGUUAAAGAGAUGGGUCUUUAAUCUAGAUUUAAACUGCAAGAGUGUGUCGGCCUCUCGAACAAUGUUAGGUAGGUUAUUCCAGAGUUUAGGCGCCAAACAGGAAAAGGAUCUGCCGCCCGCAGUUGAUUUUGAUAUUCUAGGUAUUAUCAAAUUGCCUGAGUUUUGAGAACGUAGCGGACGUAGAGGAUUAUAAUGUAAAAGGAGCUCAUUCAAAUACUGAGGUGCUAAACCAUUCAGGGCUUUAUAAGUAAUAAGCAAUAUUUUAAAAUCUAUAUGAUGU
rnacentral:lncRNA from 1 species